AGCUUUGCGCAGUGGCAGUAUCAUAGCCAAUGAGGUUUAUCUGAGGUGCAAUUAUUGCUAAUAGAAAUUACAUA
rnacentral:snRNA from 1 species